GCUCAGCCGAACGGUGAGGCCGAUGGCAGAACAGGUUAAUAUUCCUGUACUACCUGUAGGAGUGAUGUGGAGACGGAGGAGUGACAACGCCGCGGACUGACGGAAUAGUCCGUUAAAGGGUGUAGAUGUUGAUUAUCCCAGGCAAAUCCGGGAUAAGAGUCGAACCUGACAGUAUACCAAUUUCCCCGGAAAACGGUAAUAGUGCGUGUAAACAUACUCCCAAGAAAAUCCGCUAAACUUAAUCUUACAGGUACCCGUACCGUAAACGGACACACGUAGUCGGGUUGAAUAUACUCAGGCGCUUGAGUGAAUCACGGUUAAGGAACUAGGCAAAUUGACCCUGUAACUUCGGGAUAAAGGGUCCCUAUCGAAAGGUAGGGCGCAGAGAAUAGGUCCAGGCAACUGUUUAACAAAAACACAUGGCUGUGCAAAAUAGAAAUAUGAAGUAUACAGCCUGACACCUGCCCGGUGCUGGAAGGUUAAGAGGAGAUGUCAUCGCAAGAGAAGCAUUGAAUUGAAGCCCCAGUAAACGGCGGCCGUAACUAUAACGGUCCUAAGGUAGCGAAAUUCCUUGUCGGGUAAGUUCCGACCUGCACGAAUGGUGUAAUGAUCUGGACACUGUCUCAACCGUGAGCUCAGUGAAAUUGUAGUAUCGGUGAAGAUGCCGAUUACCCGCGAUGGGACGAAAAGACCCCGUGAACCUUUACUAUAGCUUUACAUUGAAUUUGGGCAACUAAUGUGUAGGAUAGGCCGGAGGCUAUGAAGCAGGUACGCUAGUAUUUGUGGAGCCGUCGUUGAAAUACGGCCCUUUGGUUGUUUGAGUUCUAACUCGCGAAAUGUGAGGACACUGUAUGGUGGGUAGUUUGACUGGGGUGGUCGCCUCCAAAAGAGUAACGGAGGCUUCUAAAGGUACCCUCAGACCGAUUGGUAACCGGUCGUAGAGUGUAAUGGCAUAAGGGUGCUUGACUGGGAGAGAUACAACUCGAUCAGGUAGGAAACUAGAGCAUAGUGAUCCGGUGGUUCCGCAUGGAAGGGCCAUCGCUCAAAGGAUAAAAGGUACUCCGGGGAUAACAGGCUGAUCGCUCCCAAGAGCUCAUAUCGACGGAGCGGUUUGGCACCUCGAUGUCGGCUCGUCACAUCCUGGGGCUGGAGAAGGUCCCAAG
rnacentral:rRNA from 1 species